AUUGAACGCUGGCGGCAUGCCUUACACAUGCAAGUCGAACGGUAACGGGCCUUCGGGUGCCGACGAGUGGCGAACGGGUGCGUAAUACAUCGGAACGUGCCCGAUCGUGGGGGAUAACGAGGCGAAAGCUUUGCUAAUACCGCAUACGAUCUACGGAUGAAAGCAGGGGACCGCAAGGCCUUGCGCGGACGGAGCGGCCGAUGGCAGAUUAGGUAGUUGGUGGGAUAAAAGCUUACCAAGCCGACGAUCUGUGGCUGGUCUGAGAGGAUGAUCAGCCACACUGGGACUGAGACACGGCCCAGACUCCUACGGGAGGCAGCAGUGGGGAAUUUUGGACAAUGGGCGCAAGCCUGAUCCAGCCAUGCCGCGUGCAGGAUGAAGGCCUUCGGGUUGUAAACUGCUUUUGUACGGAACGAAAAGCCUUCUUUUAAUACAGGAGGGUCAUGACGGUACCGUAAGAAUAAGCACCGGCUAACUACGUG
rnacentral:rRNA from 1 species